CCAGACUAUCGACACUAUCGAUAGUAUCGUUUAUAGUUUGACAGUUCUAAUAGAAACGGAAUAAGUAGAUUGAUAAUAAAGAUAUAUUAGAAAUUGUCGCAUGCCCGGGGAAUAAAAAUUUGGUUGUUUAACAGUGAAACGUUGGCUUGUGGUUUACCAUUUUGUUCAUCAUCUUUCGUAUUGCAUUGUUAUCGGAUUUUGAGCCAACUGUGAAAUUUCAAGUCCGUAGGUCAUCGGGAAGUUGGUUGAUUGCAAGAUUUGCUCCUAACUAACAUACAUACAUACAUUCAGAGCAAGGUUGGCUUUCCAAAACGGAACCAAUAGAGUUUUAAGCGAAAGUAUAUGGAAUUUAGUCAUGAAACUCGGUCAGGAUGUUGGGGGAGGCUUUCUCUACAUGAAUAUAUCACACUCACAAAGUAGUUGCUAAUGGUAUUUAAGCAAUUUGUAGUUAAUAAUCUUCACUACCACCCCCAAAUUUUUGUAUGUCAUUCCACAUCAAUUGUAUUUUGGUUGAUACACAAUAUCUUCAAUGUUCACAAAUAACAAUGGCCGACAGUAAGAGCAAAUGUGUGCUGCCAUACUUCUCGAAGCUAUAAAAUACAACUAUAAACCAUAUAAUUUUUGUUUUUGAUUCAAAAUUUUCGACUGCUGGGCUUUUUAUUAUAAAAUCGAGACUUUGAUAAAUGGCUGAGAUUUCCAUUGCGGAACCAAUUGCUAUUCCGCGCAAAGUAUACUGAAUUUUUUUAUGAAAGUCGGUGGGGAUACUAAUGGAGGUCUUCUUUAACUAUAUUUAUCACUUUGACAAUGUUGUUGCUAAUAGUACUUAAGUUAUUUGUUGUUAAAAUAUCCGGGUACUCUAUGAAUUUGUACAAAGAUUUUGGGUUGCUGUGCCCAAAUCCGUGAAUCGAAUCAAAAACCUGUAAAAAAAAAAA